rnacentral:rRNA from 1 species
UAAUACCCCAUAGUAUUAUAAAUUGGCAUCAAUUAAUAAUUAAAAUUUCGGUGGUAAAAGAUGAGUAUGCGUUCUAUUAGCUAGUAGGUAAGGUAACGGCUUACCUAGGCAACGAUAGAUAGGGGCCUUGAGAGGGGGAUCCCCCACACUGGUACUGAGACACGGACCAGACUCCUACGGGAGGCAGCAGUGAGGAAUAUUGGACAAUGGGCGCAAGCCUGAUCCAGCCAUGCCGCGUGCAGGAAGACUGCCCUAUGGGUUGUAAACUGCUUUUAUACAGGAAGAAACAGGAGUACGUGUACUUCUUUGACGGUACUGUAAGAAUAAGCAUCGGCUAACUCCGUGCCAGCAGCCGCGGUAAUACGGAGGAUGCAAGCGUUAUCCGGAAUCAUUGGGUUUAAAGGGUCCGUAGGUUGAUAAUUAAGUCAGAGGUGAAAGUUUGCGGCUCAACCGUAAAAUUGCCUUUGAUACUGGUUAUCUUGAAUCAUUAUGAAGUGGUUAGAAUAUGUAGUGUAGCGGUGAAAUGCAUAGAUAUUACAUAGAAUACCAAUUGCGAAGGCAGAUCACUAAUAAUGUAUUGACACUGAUGGACGAAAGCGUGGGGAGCGAACGGGAUUAGAUACCCCGGUAGUCCACGCCGUAAACGAUGGUCACUAGCUGUUCGGACUUCGGUCUGAGUGGCUAAGCGAAAGUGAUAAGUGACCCACCUGG